rnacentral:lncRNA from 1 species
AAUUUUGCAUAAUCUGUGUGUGUGUGUGUUUCAGGCAUUUAUUGACUUCUAUUAAAAACAUAAUUCCAAAGGCGAGAAAAAAAAAAAUGAAAAAGAAAAAAUUAAAUUAACUGCAAGACUAAAAAAAAUCACAGGAAAAAAGCCAUGAGUUCCGUACUUGGCUUUCUCCUCCUCUGGAAUUCUGCUGCUCUCCUUGGUAUUGAAACCGCACUCCUUGGGAAACAGAGAAAGGAUUGUGCAAAGACAGAGUAA